GUUUGAUUAUUUUUUAUUUGUUUCCUGGUUUUCAUUACUAAAUUGUUGCUAAAAAUACCAAGAAAAAACCAAAAAAGGUUACAUAUAAGCAAUAUUGUACAACAAUCACUGACACAUGGCCUGGCACAUGGAGAUGUAUAACCUAUAAAUGGGUCUGGCGGCAGCAGACAACCUGACCUGACCACGAACAGUUAGAACUUUGUUU